rnacentral:rRNA from 1 species
UACGUAGGGUGCAAGCGUUGUCCGGAAUUAUUGGGCGUAAAGAGCUCGUAGGCGGUCUGUCGCGUCUGCUGUGAAAACUCAGGGCUUAACCCUGAGCUUGCAGUGGGUACGGGCAGACUAGAGUGCGGUAGGGGAGACUGGAAUUCCUGGUGUAGCGGUGAAAUGCGCAGAUAUCAGGAGGAACACCGGUGGCGAAGGCGGGUCUCUGGGCCGUAAC